CUUCCAGUGAUGAUAACAUUGUCCAGUUCUGCUACUGAAGUUGUAGAGAUGAGAUUUUUUUUUAAAUCUGAGGAAG